UCCCUGAUGGCUUAGUGGUGAAGAAUUCAUCUGCCAACGCAGGAGACACAGGUUCGAUUCCUGUUCCGGGAA
rfam:TPA: Bos taurus chromosome 10, whole genome shotgun sequence.